rnacentral:lncRNA from 1 species
AGGGAGGAAGAGGAGCAGGAUAACACAAAUACAAGUGUAGACAUGGGUGUGUGUAUGUACGUAUGUAUGUAUAUAUGUAUGUAUGUAUGUAUGUAUGUAUGUAUGUAUGUAUGUAUGUAUGUACAUGUUACAGACCCGUGGACGACCACCGUAACUCUUUAGGAAAAUCCCCAAACACAAUCACACGCACACACAUAUAUACAUACACAAACACAUCCUUUUUGUGAAAACACCUUUGCCUCAACUACCUACCUACCUACAGACAGACAGACGUACAUACACACACAGAGGUCCGCGCACCUCCAAGUAAUUGGGUGCUCGUCGCUUGAGCCGCUCAAUGUCGAACCGCACAUUCUUCUCCGCGUCGUGCCAGUCCUGUGUGUGUGUACGAGUGAGCGUACGUCAGUAAGUGGGUGUGUGCAUGUGUGCAUGUAUGUAUGUAGGGUUUUAGGGUUUGCACAAAGUCACCAACAUUCCGGACCGCCGACGUGCAAGGCGCUAGCUGCCCACCCCCCCCAAAGGUGUUUGUGCAAGUAGAGGGGGAGGGGGAUUUGGGGGUAAGACGAACCACAUGUUGGGUUUUUUUGGGGGGGGAGGUUUGGAACCAGACGCCAAAGUCCGGGAGGGGGUCGGGGGAGGGCCGUGGGAGAGAGGUGUACGGCAAAUAUAUCUGGACAUGUAAGCGAAACAACCACCCAGGGAAAUAAAGGGUGUGAGUGUGUGUGUGUGUGGGGGGGGGCCGGGGUGGUGGUGUGUGUGUGUGGGGGGGGUUACGUAGGGGCACGUACGUACGACAAAACUCCUCCUUCCACAAAACCUUCAACACCUCCCGCAGGCCAACAACAGCAACACACAUGUAUGUAGUGGCGGCUCGCGGCUCACAUACGCGCGAACACAUAUACACAUGAAUAUAUACAUACAUUCAUACAUACACUCAUACGAACACACACUCAUACCUUGGCGACCAGGCAGCAGGUGGCGAUGUUGACCACGCGGCGGAUAAACGCUCGCUGCAUGUUGAGCGCAAAGGCAUAGCACUCGUCCACCAGAUCCUCCUCCUCAAUCACGUAACUGAAUCAGGCGGUUAACAGUUGACAGUUAGGAGGGUUUUGCCGCGAGUUACACAGUAGCAUGAAAAAAAUGACUAUUUCAAACCGUUUAAUUUACGUUGACAACAGUUCCUCAGGGCCUUCACAGGCCCCGGGGGGGCUUCCUUGGUUUGGGACCCUAGUUGACAGUUAGCGG